UCCACCUUCAUAAAAGGCAUCACAGACCUGCUGGUUCACAGACUAACACAGCACAGAGAAGGAAGGUGCAAACACAAACCGAAGAUGAAAACGUUAUUCAAAAGGAUAAGUACGAGGAAACAGAACAAGCAAGAUGGACACAACCAGGCAGCUAAUGGGUACAACCCCACAGAUCAGAACACCUUCACCUCCAAGGUAGAACAGAUGAGUGUGGAGGAGUUCCCACUGCAGAAUCUGGCUGAACUUCUGGGUGUGACCGCUGAUGUCAGCCCCUCUGAGGAUGGAUCAUGCUCAGUGGAAUCUGAGUCUGAUUCAGCUCAGCAGAGGCAGAGAAAUGUUCGCCUCAUACAAGCAUCAGUGUCCCAGCACCUCCCAAAACCACCGUCGGAUCUGGACCAGAACCUUCAGCAGCACCUGGUCAAUGUGCAGAAGACUGUGCGCAAUGAGCUCAUGAGGCUGAGUCCCAGGCUGGAGAAAAUGGGUUUGAUUGGAUGUCUGAUUGAUUGCUACUAUCGUCAGACACUUGAUCACAUCAGUGAUCUAUUCAAUAAAGUCCAGUCCUGCAAGAAAUCCUUUGAGCUGAUGAAGUGGAUCCUGCAUCCUUAUCUGAGUCAGGAGCUGCUGAGUCAUCCUGACCUUGGUGACUUCCCGCUGUCGACAGAAUUGGUGGCAAAAGCAGAGAACCUACUGCUUGAAAAUGUGCCGGAAGAGGUCAGAAAAUGUCUGGAUGAAAUCCUGCUGAUUCACAUAAACCAAGAUGUCUGUGACAGUGAGGAAUCUUGCAUUGGACUUUACGUGGACAUUAUUCAGGUAGUCAAUGACAUGCCUGAAAAAGCUCAGCAAAUCAACCCAAAACUGUCUCAUGAUAUCCGAGAAGCUUGUUUCCAAGAGCUGAAGAUAUUUCUGGGGAGGUUCACCUCUGAGCAGACUAAGUUUCUCAGAGAAAAAGCCAAAAAGGCCAUACCAAACAAGAUACACUUCUUCAAGAUUCUGAAAACUUGUAAAGAAAUUAAGGAGUACGUCCAGACUAAAAGUGAAGGUAUUGAAGAUUCCCUUGUCAAGGAAAUUGAGACAACGCUUGAAAACAUGGAGGAUGUUACUUUGAAACUUCUGAUGGAAAUUGUUGCUGAAAUGGCAGAGAGGCACCUUCAGAAUUACUUUACAACCAAGCACAAGAGAUUCUUCUUGAUCCCUGAUGUACAGACGCAUUUCCCUGAGGUGUCGUGGUGUCCAGACGUGAAAAAGAGAGUGAUGGACGAGGCCUACAAGCUCAUCGCUCACAUUUACCUCAAACAUCUCGUCCAAAGCAGCCAGAAGAAACUGAAGAAGUGCUGGAGCGCUGAUGUUGGUCAGACGGUUACCGAAGAUGCCCAGAGUCUUCACGACACCAUCUCUGGCCUGGUGAGACCAACAGUUUGGUAUUAA
rnacentral:lncRNA from 1 species